UUAUUCCUAUCAAUUUAGUUGUUUUCUUAGGCCUCCUAUGUUUCCUGUCUGAUUAGGCACCUCGGGGCAGAUAGGUUCCUGGUGGCUGAAGGCCAAGUGGAUAAUCUUUCACGGAGCAAGUGAAGACCCCAGAGCUUGCUGUCAGCGUGGCUAACGUUGAAUCUCUUGACCCUGUGGGCUUUAGAAUAUUUGGUCUUACCAAGGCUGCCGUGGCUUUGUGGGAUAUGACCCAGUGGCUUGAACACAUCAAAGAACUGCCCUGUGUCCCACAGACUGAACCUCAAUAAGAGAGCUGCUGCUGGAGAAGCCUAUGUCUUAACUGAAACGGAGAGCCUGGGACUUCGGAGUCCCAGAAAGCCAGGUCUGAAUCCAUACACAAGGAGGAGUUUAUUAUGUCAUCCCACAUCAUAAGAAGCUGGGAAGUAAUGCAUUUCAGGGCCGGUAGAGCUAACUUUUUUUAGUUCUGUGACCUUUUCCUGAGCCAUCCUCUCACCACGGCUGAUGUUUCAGGCAUCAUGAUGUUCCCACUCGUCAUCCUUGAGAUGAAGAAAGAGUUCUCUUCGUAGUCAAGGAGGAAUGGUUUCUUUCCUAGAAAGUUCUCAGAAGACUCCCUGAAGCAUGGCUAGCCAGACGAUGAGGCGUAAACUUGAGCCCAUGGCAAGGAAAUCGCUGCAGUAAGUCCCGGCUCUUUCACCAUCUGGCUGUGUCAUCUAGGAAAAUGCACUUGUUCUCUCUGAAGUAUAGGAUGGCAAGAGGGCCACUUGUCAUCUUCAGCCAAACAGGGUUUCUCUGUGCAGCCCUGGCUGUCCUUGGACUCACCUCUGUAGACCAGACUGGCCUCGAACUCAGCGAUCUGCCUGUGCGGGGGAUUAAAGGCAUGCACCACCACGCCCGACUGCCUUCACUCUCCAUCUUCAGCAUUCCAUCUUAAACUAGGAAAUGUGAGGUUAGAAAAGCAGUGGUCUGUUUCCUUCCUCUAUGAGCCAAGGUGGUGAAAGGACUUCGUAUUCAUUACCCACAGGAUGGGCGUGAAGAUAAAGGUUAUUCAAGUUCAAACUGCAUGGAAGCUCCAGUGCGCAGCCCUAGUGAGGCCUCCGGGGUUAAGCGGCACCUGCCUUCUGCUUCCGGUUUUCUAGUAUUUCCUCUCAACACUGGGGUCCUGAACUUACUGCAAAGAGCUUAGAUGGUGGACAUGGGGAAGAGAGUGGACGGAUAACAGGCUCAUUUUACAAGGAGUCUUCCUGUGUAGCUUGAUUCAUUGCUCCUUAGGACAGUACAGUUGCUAGAAUUUCAGAUUCUGAAUCACUCGAUGCUCUGUAGCCAAAAUGGGGCUUCUUGCCACUUUAAAUCUCUUCUCUGUACUACCGGUCUGCUGAGGGCUGUGUUCUGGCAGCUAGGUAAUUUGUACCCAGAAAGCCUCUGGUAUCCUCUGGUGAGUAAUACAGAUGUCCCAGGGUGCUCGUGUGGCCUCAACAGACUGAGACUGACGCCCGGGCCCUGUUUGUCUGUCCACACUAUCUACAUGAUAAAGCUUUAGUGACUUUCUUCCCAGACCUCCCUAUGGCAUUUGAAAUUCACAGGGCGCAGCCAGAAGUUACAAACCUGAAACAGUGAUGGUGGGCCCAACGAAGAAAGGCAUGAUGGGAAACUGCCCGAGCAACACAGGGGCCCUAGGAGCCGCGCCUUGCCAACAGGAACACGUACAUAAGGAAAACCGUAGUCUGUAGUGAGUCUGGUACCAGCUGCAGUUUCCGGUACCUACCAGAGUCAGGAAACGUGUGCCAUGGAUGGGAUAGCACCAGUCCUCACUUAACAAAGACAGCUGGGGAAAAAACACAGCCUGCACAAAGAAAAGAAGAGGUCAGAGACAGUCACAAGGGCAGCGGCGAACCAAAAAAUGGAACUCCGCAGCUCAACAGGUGGGGAUGCUUUUCGGAUGUUUUCAGGAGGAGCAAUGGCUCCGUUACACAGCAGUACCUGCCAUCCUGUAACUAGAAUGCCCAGCAGAUACCACCUGAUUCAUCACACCUGAAAUAGGUUAGAGAAAUCACCACCCAAAAACACAGAAGUAAUGUAGCCAUUUUAAUAGCACCAGCAAUGUCAAUAGCAUUAAUAUUACUGUAUUUGAUGUUCUUAAUUAUAAAAAAAAUGGACUUUUUUUUUUUUGAAGUGGUAAGUGUAUGUUACCAUAGUGCAGCUACUGUCUUAAUCGAUGGAUAAUGAAACUGAGUCUGGCUGAUUUGCCAAAAUUACAUGUCUAACUUUGGGGCCUUCAGUAAUAGAUCUUAGAUCGAAGCUAUCUACUGAAUCCUUCACAAACUUUUCAGAUUGACCAUAACAAUCAUAAGUGUGGGCCAGGGAGGUGGGUCAGCAGAUACUUGCCACCAGGACUGACAGUCUAACUUGGGACAGACAGAGCCAACUCAGUCAGUUGUCUUCUGACCGCCACAUGCUCUCCGUGGCACACAUGUGGUCCCCCCAACAACAAAAUGUAAUUAAAACAACAGUAAUUGUAUCUGUUGAGCUGUUCCUGUGUCUUUGGCUCUGUGCCAGUGACUUGCCUCACACUGUUUCCCACGGUUCUGUCACAAGGUGAACGCUCCCAGCCCCUUCGGGAGUUGAAGAAGCUCAGACUCACAGAGACCAUGUGACUUGUGACUUAUUCAUUUAUGGUCCUGAUUGUAGGAAGUUGAGUUCUCACUGAAGGUCUGCUCGACAUUGUGGGACAAGAUCUUUGUGCCUGGUCCUUGCUGAUGAUUGGGAUUUGAGUGGGUAUAAUUUUAAUCUUUAGUGAGUCUCAAGCUGUUAGAUAGGGAAGUACAGAAUGCUGCAAACCAGAGCCCAGUCAGGCUAGAAAGAUGGCGCCAUGUAUACAGAUGAGCUGAAAUGUAGGCUUUUCAGAAAUGGGGCUGAGGCAUAGAGGCGGAGCACAGCCCACCCCUCCUUAUCAAUCAGUGUAAGACCUCAGGGGUGGGGCCCGCCCCAGGCCUUGAAGGUCUAGGCUAGAGAGCGUCAUGCUCUGUUUUCAUCAGAAGAUGAGAGGAACCUUCAGGCUCAGCCCAAGUAAGGACGCCACUAGUGCCUUGUCUCAGAACGGCUUUAGGGGUUCUUCACAUUACUCCCUGCUGCCUGUCCUCUCGAGGGCUUCAAUGUUCACAGUGUUGGGUGUAAGACUCUCUGGCCCUCAGAGAAAGAUCAGAAUGCCAGGGCUCAGAGACAAGCUGUGAAUCGGGCUUUCAUGCAGAGCGCAGUUCACAAGGCCAGACCUCAGCCUUACCCCAUUUCCAAGGACUCAUUCAUUGUGAGGACUUGCUUAGACGUGAAAAUGGCCCUCAGUUCUUCCCCCGGCCCUUUUUCACAUUGCCUUUGUGGGCCUGAAUAUCUCUGAAGAUUGUGAGUUUGAUAAACAAACAAUAAACAAUAUUUUUUUUUGAGAAGCGAAAGUUUCUAUGAACCUCCCGAGUCGAGUUCAGAGUUUUGAAGGACCUUGCACUGCCUGGCUGCCGGCACAUGGGGCUGUGGUGUCCAGAGUGGGACUCGCUGUUCGUUCACUGCAGUUUUGUGGCAGCUAACUGGAAAACACCUAUCAUCUAUCGCCCCUGCAGUGGAGAGUUGAUUAAACAACCCAUGACACUGUUUUCCUUAUAAGCCACCUUAAAAGUACCCAUGAGGCCUUGCCCUUCCCACUGAGCUAAUCACAUCCAUUUUCAGUAUGGUUCCUCUCCACCACAGUCCAAAAAAUAUCUGGGCAUCUUGCCCUGCUCUCCCCAUGUUUCACGUGGACAUCCAUUACCUCAGACACUUAAGCAAUUGUUUUCGGUUUGGUUCGGUUCUUUCAAAGGAAUAGAUAAAUCAUCCCGGCUACUGUGAUGAGAGAGGAGAUGAAGGAAAUGACAGUUUUUAUCUUUUAUUCAGGUAGCCUAAAUUUACAUGAGACCACAAAGAGUUCCUGACAGGAUGUUAUUGAUCGCACUCACCCAGCUGGGGCUUGAAAGAUGGGUCUUCCUGCCGCGUCACGGGGCACCCUCUUCCUCCCAUCCCAGCCUGUGAGUCAAAUCUGAGAUCUGAUUCUCGCACAGAAGUAGAUGCUUAAGGCAGACAUCUCAGGGCCUUGGGCAGAUUUCCCGUCAAUCAUUCCCCGAGGGCUACCUUAUCUCCACGCUUCCCAUCUGAAGACCCAGCAAGGCUCAGUCAUUUUAAUAGCCAUAUUUAUCAUUGAGCACCAGGUUUCCCCAUUGACCCGAGUAAUCUUGAAUCACACCUUGCUGAGGGAGGUGCUAUUUUUAAUCCUCCAUUUGUAGGUGAGGAGUGUAAGAGCCUGACCUGUGGUUUACCCAAGGCAAAGGGAAACCAGGCAAACCAUCCUCCUUUCUCCCUACUUCCUGCCUUGUUUUCAUUCAAGCCCCAGAUGUUAGUGCUUGCUAUGUGCCCAGUGAGCUACGCGAUGGGACUGGAGCUGACAGUAGACAGAACCUCUGUCCUCGUUUGAGGUUUGUGCAUCCCAUUUCUUACAUGUGGACUCACCCCGGACACUUUUAUUUGCGUUCUAGCCCUUCAAAAUGAUAGUCUCCCACAUUCUUUUUCUGUUUAGUACAUCUGAAUUGUUUCAAAAUUCCAAGUUUCAUAUGUCAAUUUAAUGUUCCUGUUUGAGGCCCUGCUGGGCUUAUUGGCGAUUGGCCUGUAUUUCUUAUGAACCUCAGAGUAGCUGGUGCAGACUUGCCUCCUGUGGACAAUCACACACACACACAAAUAUACAGAGAUGGGGGAGUAAAGAGGGGGGGAGAGAAACAUUCAGGGAGAGACGGAGGGAUUCAUGGUGAUUCACUGAGAUUAUUGGAAUCAGUUCAAGAUUUUUUUCCCCCCGAUGAAAGCAUUAUUAAAAGUUGAUUUUUUUCCCCAACAGAAAUAAUCAUGAAGCCAAUUCAGGGUUUCCUGAUGAAGUUUGCAAUCUGACCCCCCAAACCAUGAUCCUGUGGACUUAAGGGGCCAGUCUAGGCUUAGCAAAACUUUAGCCUUUAAGAAAGCUUCUGGAUGCUUUAGCUGGGGGUAGCUAAGGUCACAGCUUCAUUGGCUUCCCGCAGUACCAAUCUCCACGUCAGGUGGUGUAAGGAAGCCUGCACUCACUGGCUUGGCCUUCGUCUGCCGUACGGGAGCACAACUCAGGGUCCGUUUAGUAUGGAGAUAAUGGGAUGUGAGUUUAUGGGUCUGGUCAAUUCCAUGUUAUCUCUAGUUAUAUACUGGCAUAUCUUCCAGGGCAAUUUCCAUUGCCCCCGUGUGUUGAGACCUGGAAUAGUAACACAGAGAUUUGGGGCAGAGGGUCUGUCUUCAUAUUGAUCUGUGUGAUUGUCUCAUCACUAGGAGAGAGCUGAGGAGAAGCAAGGUUGGAGACAGAGUUGAAAGCUGGUGCACGUAGAAUUCUCCCAGAUCCUACAGCUCAAUGACAGGAACUUGACUGCGAUUUGCCCCAGAGCUGUCAAUAAUCCUAAAAAUGCAGACGAUGUGCCAUUGAUAAAGACACAGACUCGCAACAAGUGUUAAAAGAAAGACAUUCUUCCUCCAAGUCUCUGAAUAAAAAUGAUAAGAUGAUUAUCACAGAAGGAGCAAAAAUGGGAAUAAAUAUCAUGUAGGGCCAAGUGAUCAAAGGCAGAGUUUAUUGUGCCUCACUCAGAUGCUAUACAACUGGAAGUACCAACCUUUUCUUCUUUGGCCCAGUCUUGUCUGAUGCUCCAUGCUCCAAACGAAUGGAAAGAUUAAGUGAAGACCAGUCAAGGUGACAUGCUGCUGCCUUUGCCUGCUUAUAAAAUGGAUAAAGGCACUGAUGUUCCUGUUACUAGGAGACCAGACAACCUUCUCGAAGUGAAACAUUCCCCAAGACCCAGGAGUCAUCUGUGUGACCUUGAUACCAUCUAUCUUCGAAGAAAGCAGGAAGUGGAGGAUGCCAUGGCAACAGAUAAUGGAAGCCAUCGAGGAAAGAAGCUAACAGACAAGGCUACUCCCAGAAAAAAUACCAAGUAAAAGAGUCACAUCCAAACCAGGCCAACUGAGAAAACAAGAAGAGAGGCCAGAAGAAAAGGAGAGGUGAGAGAGAAGUGUACAUUAUUGCUGUGAGCAUGGCCAUGUCAGGGAUAAUACUGCUUCGUGGGAAUGACAAGGCUUUUAUGAUUCAUAACAGUAGCAAAAUUACAGCUAUGAAGUAGCACAAAAUAGUUAUAUGGUUGGAGGUCAUCACAACCUGAGGGACUGUAUUAAGGGGUCACAGCGUUAGGAAGACUGAGAACCACUGAUUUAGCAGAGAAGACAAAUAUGGGGGUUAGGCUAUAGAAAGUAAGUCUUUGAAAGGGACUGUGUGGCCAUGGCUCCUUCUUCUUCUCUACCUUUUGUGCAUCCAAGCCACAAGGUGGGCAGCUACCUUUACGCCAUGCCUCAUGCUGUGGUGAGCUACCUGGCUGCAGGCCCAGAAGAACAGGACCAAUUAAUUGCUCGUGGGCUCCAGAAGUGUGAGUUCAAAUAAACCUGGCUCAGAAUCAAUGAGCACAGGUAUAUGUUACAGUAAAUGUAGCCAAUGCAAACUCUGAUCAGUCAGGGCUAUGCACCUCAUGGAGAAACAAAGGGCCAUUGUUAUCAUUGCUAUGGGUAUUAACAGUGGUGGAAGAGGAUGGUGAAGAUUCCAAACACCAGGGAAUAUUCGUAUGGCCAAUUUGGGGUUUCGGACACUUCAAGGUGAGAAGGGACAAGACAAUGCAGCAGCUAGAUUGGCUUUUAUAAGCAUCUUAGGCCAGAACUGUAUCAGCUCACCUUUAACUCAACCCACCUCUAUUUGGAAUUUGAAACAACUAUGGACUUUCAUGUUCAGUUAGCAGCUAGGAAAAAAGAGGCAGGCCUGGUAUCAUGGGACUCUCACUAAUGGGCAAGGGAGACUGUCUAACUAGUUUCCUAAGGUCUGCUUUGAUUUGAAGAGUCAGAAUAUUUCUACAAAAUUCCACAAGGGAAUCAACCAGAGAUCUUCUUUACAGCUUGAGGUCAGAGAAUUUGCCUCUCCAGGGACAGCUUUUUGACAGUGUCUGUGGGAAUCAGGAUGGUUUUUCUGAUCCAUGUAGAAUUAGAGCCACCUAUAGAUACAUAGGCCCCUGGUGCAGGAAAAUAAUAAUAUAUAUUAUUAUAUAUAAAUAUAUAAACUACUGUUCUGUCAUAUGAAUGAUUUUAUUAAAAACAUAAAAACCGGGCUGGCAAGAUAGCUCACCAGGUAAGAGCACUGACCACUCUUCCGAAGGUCCUGAGUUCAAAUCCCAGCAGCCACAUGGUGGCUCACAACCACCAGCAAUGAGAUUUGAUGCCCUCUUCUGGUGUGCCUGAAGAUAGCUGCAGUGUAAUUAUGUAUAAUAAUAAGUAAAUCUUUGGGCCGGAGCAAGCAGAGCAAGCCGAGGUCCUAAAUUCAAUUCCCAGCAACCACAUGAAGGCUCACAACCAUCUGUAAUACAUAUAAAUAAAUAAAUAAAUAAAUAAAUAAAUAAAUAAAUAAAUCUUUAAAGAAAUCAUAAAAGCCAUGGAUUCAUGUGGUCUAAUCAUUUGUCAAUAACAUCCAGGAUGACGACAGUGGUGCAUAUUUGAGUAUUGCAUAGUCAGUGCUUGAGAAAAUUCUUUGUCACCUCCAAGCUCCAUGGAUUCCUGUCCAGGUUCAGGAACUACUUCCCUUCCCAGGCAUAAAUGGAGCAUCUAUCACACAUCCCUCCUCCAAGGUCUGAGGGAACAUUGCAGAGGAAGGGAUAGAAGCAGUGUAAGAGCCAGAGGAAGGAGCACUGUAUAAAGUUGACUCUAGUGCAUGAUUGCUGCUUUCUUACACUACAAGCAGUUGAGAAGACCUGCAGAGGACUGGGUCUGUGGACAGUUGUCACAGGAGGAGGAGGAGCUCAUGAGUUCCCAUCCCUUUAUAAGGAUGUAUAUGCAGAUAGUGAUUGAUGCAGGAGGAAGAGACACUUUCUUCAGUGGUGUAACUACUGGUAAGGUGCACAUGUUCCUGUGAUGAAACCUCCCCCCUCACACACACACCCAAAGUGUGCACACAUACACACACACACACACACACACACACACACACACAAAGUGCUUUCAAUAGCCCCAAUGAAACACACAGACACAGACAGACAGACACACAUACACACAUGCAUGGACACACACAGGCACACACACAGCUCACAGAGACAUGAAAAAAGUCAAAGGGGUAGUUGGGAAGAGGAAGGGCAUUACUGGGAAUGGGAGACAAGAAAGGAUAAUUAUGAAUAUGAUACAUCAUCUACAUAUAUGAAAAUGUCACAGUGAAGCCCAUCAUUGCCUACAAUAAACACAUGCUAAGGAAAACAUUCCAGAAGAAUGACUUUCAGUGUUCGUCACUGUCGAUUGUGCUGUCCCUGGGUAAUAUCUGCCAUAAAGAAGAGAUGAAAGUACAUUGUCACUCACGAUGUAGCUCCUGGUGCCUGUGUGUGCUGAAUCUCUGUGGGAAGGUCUCUCUCUUCAGAUCCACGUCUACCACUUGCUUAGUCUGGUCAUAUCAUAGCUUACCUCACCUCUGCCUCCACUGUGUUACCCUGGAACAGUAGCUUCCAAGUACUUUAAUAUUGUCACUGUGCUUCUCUGUUAAUGGUCAUGAGUGCACCCUGGGCAGAAAAAUGCAAAUGAUAAUUCCUUUUCUGCUCAUGUUAAGCUUAAGAUCAAGACCAUGAGCUCCAACUAUGAGCUAUAAAUGGAGAAUAAUGUAUAUUUUCAACCAUGUCUUCUCUGGGAUCUUUUGGGUUAUACCAUUGCAUUCCAGGUGAUCUCUUUCAGUGUUGACAGUGGGAAAAGAUCCUCAGAGCCCAAUAAGAAGAGUUUUCUCAUUCCUGUGGAAACCAUCCUGGGAAAAUGAUGAGACGACAUCCAUUGCAAAGAUCCACAGUCAUGACCAUUGUGGAGCAAGUAUUCAAACACCUUAGAGUUGGAGGCCAUUCCUGACCACCUUAUGUGACAAGAAGCCUAUCAUGGGUGAGGAUGGGGGAAGGGUAGAUCAGAGUAAAUGCAGCAAUGAGAGAGAGAGAGACAGAGAGAGAGAGAGAGAGAGAGAGAGAGAGAGAGAGAGAGAGA